CAGUAGCCGCGGUAAUACGUAGGUGGCAAGCGUUGUCCGGAAUUAUUGGGCGUAAAGGGCUCGCAGGCGGUUUCUUAAGUCUGAUGUGAAAGCCCCCGGCUCAACCGGGGAGGGUCAUUGGAAACUGGGAAACUUGAGUGCAGAAGAGGAGAGUGGAAUUCCACGUGUAGCGGUGAAAUGCGUAGAGAUGUGGAGGAACACCAGUGGCGAAGGCGGCUCUCUGGUCUGUAACUGACGCUGAGGAGCGAAAGCGUGGGGAGCGAACAGGACUAGAUACCCGUGUAGUCCCUGUCUCUUAUAC
rnacentral:rRNA from 1 species